GGACCAUCUGCACAAAUAUCCCCAAAAGGGAAAACACGCGGAUCCCCCCCAGGCGGGCCGGGCACACGGGUUGUUGGGGUUAAACAGCGCCGUUUCGAAGCUAUCACAUUAGCUACAAACGAUGGCGUUUCAAGCUUCACCGUUAAAACAAAAAAAAAAAAAAACCUAACCUAACAUUCUAGCAGAAAUGAAAAAAUAAAACUGAGGCUUCCCCCUUUUUCGCCGCUCUAUUCAUCAAUCCUUCCAAAGGAUCUCUGAACCCCUGCCCAGGCUCCGAUGACGACGGAGAGAGCAAGGAUUCGUCGGCAAGGUGUACGGGCGUACGAGGGGCAGCUGGGACGUGGCGCGGCUCGUGUGAAGGCGUGGUCCCUGGCGGUGGCGCACGCGCGAGGGCAGAGGCUGGGUAUGCGUGGAGGAGUUGGGGCUGCGGCGCUCUGAACGCCUAGGGUUUCUGAUGUUUAGGCAAGUCUGGGGCUAGGUGAUUUGGGUUGGGGUUAGGUGUCGGGCUAGUGUUUGGGUAGUUUAGGUUAAAAGUGGUUUGGGCCAUUCGGGUUUGUUGUUGUUUGUAAUCUGGACAUUGUUUAUUUUAUCUGGUUUAUGGGCUGGGCAAAAAUGGCCUACUACAAUCACCAUCAUAUAA